rnacentral:rRNA from 1 species
UGGGGAAUUUUGGACAAUGGGCGAAAGCCUGAUCCAGCAAUGCCGCGUGUGUGAAGAAGGCCUUCGGGUUGUAAAGCACUUUUGUCCGGAAAGAAAUCCUUGGCUCUAAUACAGUCGGGGGAUGACGGUACCGGAAGAAUAAGCACCGACUAACUACGUGCCAGCAGUCGCGGUAAUACGUAGGGUGCAAGCGUUAAUCGGAAUUACUGGGCGUAAAGCGUGCGCAGGCGGUUUGCUAAGACCGAUGUGAAAUCCCCGGGCUCAACCUGGGAACUGCAUUGGUGACUGGCAGGCUAGAGUAUGGCAGAGGGGGGUAGAAUUCCACGUGUAGCAGUGAAAUGCGUAGAGAUGUGGAGGAAUACCGAUGGCGAAGGCGGCCCCCCUGGGCCAAUACUGACGCUCAUGCACGAAAGCGUGGGGGAGCAAAACAGGAUUAGAUACCCUGGUAGUCCACGCCCAUAAAACGAUGUCAACUAGUUGUUGGGGGACUUUCAUUUUCCUUAGUAACGUAGCUAACGCGUGAAGUUGACCGCCUGGGGAGUACGGUCGCAAGAUUAAAACUCAAAGGAAUUGAC